rnacentral:rRNA from 1 species
UACGUAGGGACCAAGCGUUGUUCGGAUUUACUGGGCGUAAAGGGCGCGUAGGCGGCAAUUCAAGUCAUCUGUGAAAUCUCCGGGCUUAACCCGGAAACUGCCAUUGAUACUAUUUGUCUUGAAUACUGUGGAGGUCAGCGGAAUAUGUCAUGUAGCGGUGAAAUGCUUAGAUAUGACAUAGAACACCAAUUGCGAAGGCAGCUGGCUACACAAAUAUUGACACUGAGGCACGAAAGCGUGGGGAGCGAACAGG